rnacentral:lncRNA from 1 species
GAUGUCACUGUAAAUACACCUUUGCCUAAGUGACAUGUCUAACACUUGUUUUUCUCUCUAAUAAAAACUCAGUUUUUGAAAGGUUUUUUUUUUUUAACGAUGAAAAAAAGAACUCAUUUGAGCGCCCAAAACACAGAGGUUAGGAAUAUUAAUUCCAUUUUCGAAUCGAAUUUGAAUCUAUGAAUUCAUCACUGAAUCAGCCCUAUCAUUCAAACUAAGUUAUAUAACUCACAUUUUUUAUCUUUAUUUUCUCUAAUACUCCGGAUUUCGAGUUGAACCCAAAAUCAUUUUUUUUUCUUUCCGAAUUUCUAAAACAAAUCGGUUUGAAUUCGAAUAAUCUAAAAAACCAACCCAAUGAACACCCUUGUCUACUCAAGAAUUGGCUCGAACUCGAACACAUAAAAAUCUGAUCAUUAAACAUCCUUUAAAAACUCUUGAGAUCACCAAUUAUAUUAUAAGAAGGGAAUCGGAUCAUUUUUUUUUACAAAAUAGAAACAAAUGAAAACUACACAAACAAAGACCGUUGAAUGAAAAGAUCAAGGAGAGAAUAAGCCAUUAAUGGUUGCUCGACCGAUGUUCGAUUUCGGCUCAUGAACAAGUUUUUUGAAGCGAGGCCUCUUGAUCCAGAUGCCAGUUGAAUAAGAUGGUAAUAACUCCAGAUCAUCGUUAUCAUUUUGCAACUUCUUCUUCAUCAUCUUCUCGUACUCCUCUGCCAUUAGCAUAGCUAUGUCCGCCAUUUCUUUUUAUGGCGGGUGA